AGGUGGGCACUCCUGAGGCUGCAGAGCAGAAGAGACCACCAACACUGCCCACCCCUGCCCACAUCCCUGGCCCAAGAGGAAACUGUAUAAGGCCUCUGGGCUACCGUGGGGGAGGGCCCAGGAGCGGCAGGACCCCUGCCUGAGACACCACAGGAACCUGAAGGAAACAGACUGGAUAAACAGUUCUCUGCACACAUAUCCCGUGGGAGGGAGAGCUAAACCUUCAGAGAGGCAGACAAGCCUGGGAAACCAGAAGAGACUGCUCUCUGCACAUACAUCUCGGACGCCAGAGGAAGACACCAAAGGCCAUCUGGAACCCUGAUACACUGAAGCUCCCAGAAAGGGAUGCGCAGAUCUUCCUGGUUGCUGCCGCCACAGAGAGCCCGAGGGCAGCACCCCGCGAGAGAACUUGAGCCUCAGGACCACAGGUAAGACCAACAUUUCAGCUCCAAGCGACCUGCCUGGUGGACUCAGGACACAGGCCCACAGAAACAGCUGAAGACCAGUAGACAGGAAAGACUACACGCCCAAAAGCAGAACACUCUGUUCCCAUAACUGGUUGAAAGAAAACAGGAAAA
rnacentral:lncRNA from 1 species